rnacentral:lncRNA from 1 species
UGUCCAGCAAACCAAGGCCACGGGCCACGUCCCAGGCACUGGGGACACCAUUCAUCCAGUGUCAGCCACCGCUUACCCAGUGCCCCUAACUACAACGGGAAGCCAACAGACAAGAGAUUAUUGGGUGGCCAGCACCAUGGCUUCCUAGGCUAAUCCUCCACCUGUGGCACCAGUACUCCAGGUCCUAGUCCCAGAUGGGGCGCUGGAUUCUGUCCCGGUUGCUCCUCUUCCAGGCCAGCUCUCUGCUGUGGCCCGAGAAGGCAGUGGAGGAUGGCCCAAGUGCUUGGGCCCUGCACCCGCAUGGGAGACCAGGAGGAGGCACCUGGCUCCUGGCUUCAGAUUGGUGCAGCGCUGGCCAUAGCGGCCAUUUGUGGGGUGAACCAAUGGAAGGAAGACCUUUCUCUGUCUCUCUCUUUCUCUCUCACUAACUCUGCCUGUCAAAAAAAAAGAGAGAGAGAGAGAGAGAGAGAGAGAGAGAGAGAGAUUCUGGGCAGUGGCCAGUGUAGGGGGUACAAGCAAGGUGAUGUCAUCAGAACUGGGGGGGGGUUGCCAAAGGUAGUGAUUAGGGAAGAGCUGGUUGUGACGAUGACUUUAUGCGUAGCUGAACGGGACCUGCCGGUCACGGCUUUCUCAGGCCACAUGUCCUGCUGUGCUGGGUCUGUGACCAGCACUGUUUGGCUGUGCGUGCCCAGCCCUUCUCUGGGCAUUCCUUGCUGGUCCAGAGAUGGGCAGCUCCAAUGGAUCCAGGCCUUUCCAGGGGGAUCCCAGCCUGGGCCACUUCUUUCCCGUGUCAAUAUCUGCAAGGAUGGUCUUGCCCAGGCUUUUUCCUCCAGGAGUUCAAAGAGCUGGUUAAUGCAGCGGAGAACUCCAACAAGCCAGUGCUGCAGCCAUUUGGCUCUGUCUGGAAUGCUGGGACUCAGAAGCCAGUUUCAUCCAACUUUAAUCUGCACGCUCAGAGCACCUGUCAGCGCGCAAGCCGUCAACAAGAGAAAUCGUGGGGCAGACGCAUUGCUCCCAGCUGGAGUUCUGGCUGAGCGCUGAUGGUAACUGCUUCCUACCUUAGGGUUUUAAAUAGAAUUAAUUUUCUCUGUAAUGAUCAUAAAGGAUGCUGUUACCUAAAUGAGGCAGCUGACGC